GAAUUUGAGGGUGACCCUGAUGGUGACAAGCCACCCCACUGAUCACCAGUGCUUUUUUUAAACUGAUCUUACUGGCUUGCUGGGUGUCCCCUUUCUCCCUUGCAGUUUUGUAUCUGUCCUUCCCAAAGCAGAGUGCUCGGUCAAAACAGACGCUUAUUUUUUUUUUUUUUUUAAAGUUAAAGAACUUUACAUUGAUUUCUAUUUAGGUACACGCCAAAUUUUUAGUUUAUCUGAACAUCCUAGAAUUGAAAAGUGA
rnacentral:sRNA from 1 species